AUGAACGCUAGCUACAGGCUUAACACAUGCAAGUCGAGGGGCAGCAUGGUCUUAGCUUGCUAAGGCCGAUGGCGACCGGCGCACGGGUGAGUAACACGUAUCCAACCUGCCGUCUACUCUUGGACAGCCUUCUGAAAGGAAGAUUAAUACAAGAUGGCAUCAUGAGUUCACAUGUUCACAUGAUUAAAGGUAUUCCGGUAGACGAUGGGGAUGCGUUCCAUUAGAUAGUAGGCGGGGUAACGGCCCACCUAGUCUUCGAUGGAUAGGGGUUCUGAGAGGAAGGUCCCCCACAUUGGAACUGAGACACGGUCCAAACUCCUACGGGAGGCAGCAGUGAGGAAUAUUGGUCAAUGGGCGCAGGCCUGAACCAGCCAAGUAGCGUGAAGGAUGACUGCCCUAUGGGUUGUAAACUUCUUUUAUAAAGGAAUAAAGUCGGGUAUGUAUACCCGUUUGCAUGUACUUUAUGAAUAAGGAUCGGCUAACUCCGUGCCAGCAGCCGCGGUAAUACGGAGGAUCCGAGCGUUAUCCGGAUUUAUUGGGUUUAAAGGGAGCGUAGAUGGAUGUUUAAGUCAGUUGUGAAAGUUUGCGGCUCAACCGUAAAAUUGCAGUUGAUACUGGAUAUCUUGAGUGCAGUUGAGGCAGGCGGAAUUCGUGGUGUAGCGGUGAAAUGCUUAGAUAUCACGAAGAACUCCGAUUGCGAAGGCAGCCUGCUAAGCUGCAACUGACAUUGAGGCUCGAAAGUGUGGGUAUCAAACAGGAUUAGAUACCCUGGUAGUCCACACGGUAAACGAUGAAUACUCGCUGUUUGCGAUAUACGGCAAGCGGCCAAGCGAAAGCGUUAAGUAUUCCACCUGGGGAGUACGCCGGCAACGGUGAAACUCAAAGGAAUUGACGGGGGCCCGCACAAGCGGUGGAGUAUGUGGUUUAAUUCGAAGCAACGCGAAGAACCUUACCAGGCCUUGACAUCCCUUGCAGAGGUAUAGAGAUAUAUCCGAGGUUAUCAAGGAGACAGGUGGUGCAUGGUUGUCGUCAGCUCGUGUCGUGAGAUGUUGGGUUAAGUCCCGCAACGAGCGCAACCCUUGUUGUCAGUUACUAACAGGUUCCGCUGAGGACUCUGACAAGACUGCCAUCGUAAGAUGUGAGGAAGGUGGGGAUGACGUCAAAUCAGCACGGCCCUUACGUCCGGGGCUACACACGUGUUACAAUGGGGGGUACAGAGGGCCGCUACCACGCGAGUGGAUGCCAAUCCCAAAAACCUCUCUCAGUUCGGACUGGAGUCUGCAACCCGACUCCACGAAGCUGGAUUCGCUAGUAAUCGCGCAUCAGCCACGGCGCGGUGAAUACGUUCCCGGGCCUUGUACACACCGCCCGUCAAGCCAUGGGAGCCGGGGGUACCUGAAGUGCGUAACCGCGAGGAGCGCCCUAGGGUAAAACUGGUGACUGGGGCU
rnacentral:rRNA from 1 species